rnacentral:rRNA from 1 species
UACGUAGGUGGCGAGCGUUGUCCGGAUUUACUGGGCGUAAAGGGAGCGUAGGCGGACUUUUAAGUGAGAUGUGAAAUACCCGGGCUCAACUUGGGUGCUGCAUUUCAAACUGGAAGUCUAGAGUGCAGGAGAGGAGAAUGGAAUUCCUAGUGUAGCGGUGAAAUGCGUAGAUAUUAGGAGGAACACCAGUUGCGAAGGCGGCUCUCUGGACUGUAACUGACACUGAGGCACGAAAGCGUGGGGAGCAAACAGGAUUAGAUACCCG